GAUGAACGCUAGCUACAGGCUUAACACAUGCAAGUCGAGGGGAAACGAUAUUGGAAGCUUGCUUCCGAUAGGCGUCGACCGGCGCACGGGUGAGUAACGCGUAUCCAACCUGCCCAUCACUUGGGGAUAACCUUGCGAAAGUAAGACUAAUACCCAAUGACGUCUCUAGAAGACAUCUGAAGGAGAUUAAAGAUUUAUCGGUGAUGGAUGGGGAUGCGUCUGAUUAGCUUGUUGGCGGGGUAACGGCCCACCAAGGCGACGAUCAGUAGGGGUUCUGAGAGGAAGGUCCCCCANAUUGGAACUGAGACACGGUCCAAAACUCCUACGGGAGGCAGCAGUGAGGAAUAUUGGUCAAUGGACGAGAGUCUGAACCAGCCAAGUAGCGUGCAGGAUGACGGCCCUAUGGGUUGUAAAACUUCUUUUAUAAGGGAAUAAACCCUCCCACGUGUGGGAGCUUGUAUGUACCUUAUGAAUAAGCAUCGGCUAACUCCGUGCCAGCAGCCG
rnacentral:rRNA from 1 species